GCAGCACCUGUCACUGCAGCUCCUGCUUCUGCAUCAAAUAUACUUGUAAACGUGACUUUCAGAUCUCUGCUCACCUCUUUUACAAAUGAUUUGCUGAAUACAUCAUCCCCGGCUUUUAAGAGCAGAUCUUCAAUUAUAACGACACAGCUUGAACCUCUGUUUAAAAAUACAUUCCAAUCCUCGUUCCAUUCUUUAAACGUCAUCGCCUUCAGAAAUGGAUCAAUCAUCACUUUUAUGAGGCUUGCAUUUACUAGAACAUUUGUUCCUAAUGCCACUCAGAUUGCAGAAGUUUUGUUUAAUGCAUCAUCAACUGUAGUUGGCUUUGACAUUGAAGGAACCUCUAUCACCAUCAAUGGCAUAUCUUCAAGUGGAAUAAUUCACAAGAUCAGUCUUCUCACUGCAUUGUGUCUGGUACCCUUGUCAUGGCUACUGUCAAACCAGAAAUAGCAUCAGCAUUGAUUUCCAUUUGAAUUUCAGUUACAAGAUCAAUGCCUUUACUAGUAUGUUGA